rnacentral:rRNA from 1 species
GACGAACGCUGGCGGCGUGCCUAAUACAUGCAAGUCGAACGCUGAAGAGAGGAGCUUGCUCUUCUUGGAUGAGUUGCGAACGGGUGAGUAACGCGUAGGUAACCUGCCUUGUAGCGGGGGAUAACUAUUGGAAACGAUAGCUAAUACCGCAUAACAAUGGAUGACACAUGUCAUUUAUUUGAAAGGGGCAAUUGCUCCACUACAAGAUGGACCUGCGUUGUAUUAGCUAGUAGGUGAGGUAAUGGCUCACCUAGGCGACGAUACAUAGCCGACCUGAGAGGGUGAUCGGCCACACUGGGACUGAGACACGGCCCAGACUCCUACGGGAGGCAGCAGUAGGGAAUCUUCGGCAAUGGGGGCAACCCUGACCGAGCAACGCCGCGGGAGUGAAGAAGGGUUUCGGAUCGUAAAGCUCUGUUGUAAGUCAAGAACGGGUGUGAGAGUGGAAAGUUCACACUGUGACGGUAGCUUACCAGAAAGGGACGGCUAACUACGUG